rnacentral:rRNA from 1 species
GAACGAGGAUAUAUCCUUCGGGAUAUAAGCCGAGUGGCGCAAGGGUGAGUAAUGCAUAGAUUACCUGCCUCUAGGAUAAGGACAACUUUGUGAAAACGAAGCUAAUACUUAAUAAUACAAAAGAAAAUUAUUUUCUUUUGUCAAUGGGAGGGUAGCAAUGCCUUUUGCCUGGAGAGGGGUUUAUGUCCUAUCAGCUUGUUGGUGGGGUAAUGGCCUACCAAGGCGAAGACGGGUAGCCGGUCUUAGAGGAUGGUCGGCCACACUGGGACUGAGACACUGCCCAGACUUCUACGGAAGGCUGCAGUCGAGAAUCUUUCGCAAUGCCCGAAAGGGUGACGAAGCGACGCCGCGUGAGUGAGGAAGGCCUUCGGGUUGUAAAGCUCUGUCAGGAGUUAAGAAAUAUAAGUGUGCUAAUACCACAUUUAUUUGACGAAGGCUCCAAAGGAAGCCACGGCUAACUCUGUGCCAGCAGCCGCGGUAAUACAGAGGUGGCAAGCGUUGUUCGGAAUUAUUGGGCGUAAAGAGCACGUAGGUGGGUUUGUAAGUCAGAUGUGAAAGCCUUCUGUUCAACGGAAGAAUUGCAUCUGAAACUGCGAGUCUUGAGUGUAGGAGGGGAGAAUGGAACUUCUGGUGGAGCGGUGAAAUGCGUAGAUAUCAGAAGGAACGCCGGCGGCGAAAGCGAUUCUCUGGCCUAUUACUGACGCUCAGUGUGCGAAAGCUAGGGGAGCAAACGGGAUUAGAUACCCCGGUAGUCCUAGCCGUAAACGAU